UACGUAGGGUGCGAGCGUUGUCCGGAAUUAUUGGGCGUAAAGAGCUCGUAGGCGGUUUGUCGCGUCGACUGUGAAAACCUACAGCUUAACUGUGGGCUUGCAGUCGAUACGGGCAGACUUGAGUUCGGUAGGGGAGACUGGAAUUCCUGGUGUAGCGGUGAAAUGCCCAGAUAUCAGGAGGAACACCGGUGGCGAAGGCGGGUCUCUGGGCCGAUACUGACGCUGAGGAGCGAAAGCGUGGGGAGCGAACAGG
rnacentral:rRNA from 1 species